rnacentral:lncRNA from 1 species
UUUCUCGGCACAAGCUCUCUCUUUGCCUGCCGCCAUCCAUGUAAGAUGUGACUUGCUCCUCCUUGCCUCCCGCCAUGAUUGUGAGGCCUCCCCAGCCAUGUGGAACUGUAAGUCUAAUAAACUUCUUUCUUUUGUAAAUUGCCCAGUCUUGGCUAUGUCUUUAUCAGCAGUGUGAAAACGGACUAAUACAACUCCUUUUUGCAUUUUUGCCACAACAGUUUCCUUCAGUACAACAGCUACUUUUUAAGGAGUGCUUUCUGUCAGGGACCAGGCCAGGCACUAGGAAUAUUCACAUGAAGAAGGCAAAGCCCAGGACCUUCCAUCAGUUGGUGAGGCCUGUGAUUGGCCACAGCUGCCUGCGUCUCAUUCUGCCGCUGAUCUAAGGAAGCCCUUCAUUGCCACAUAUCUCAGCCUUAAUCUCCAUUGUCAGCUCUCUCCAUCCUGAAGCUCAAGUUUGAAUACUGAGGUCUGCAAGGACAUUAUACUGAGACCUGCAAGGACAUUUGUCUCACAUUGCAAUAAACAGCCACCGGG